rnacentral:rRNA from 1 species
CCUACGGGAGGCAGCAGUGGGGAAUAUUGCACAAUGGGGGACACCCUGAUGCAGCGACGCAGCGUGAGUGAAGCAGUAUUUCGGUAUGUAAAGCUCUAUCAGCAGGGAAGAAAAUGACGGUACCUGAUUAAGAAGCCCCGGCUAACUACGUGCCAACAGCCGCGGUAAUACGUAGGGGGCAAGCGUUAUCCGGAUUUACUGGGUGUAAAGGGAGCGUAGACGGCAGCACAAGUCUGGAGUGAAAUGCUGGGGCUUAACCCCGGAACUGCUUUGGAAACUGUGCAGCUAGAGUGCAGGAGAGGUAAGUGGAAUUCCUAGGGUAGCGGUGAAAGGCGUAGAUAUUAGGAGGAACACCAGUGGCGAAGGCGGCUUACUGGACUGUAACUGACGUUGAGGCUCGAAAGCGUGGGGAGCAAACAGGAUUAGAUACCCCAGGAGUC